rnacentral:rRNA from 1 species
CACGUAGGGUGCGAGCGUUGUCCGGAAUUAUUGGGCGUAAAGAGCUCGUAGGCGGCUUGUCACGUCGGGUGUGAAAGCCCGGGGCUUAACCCCGGGUCUGCAUUCGAUACGGGCUGGCUAGAGUGUGGUAGGGGAGAUCGGAAUUCCUGGUGUAGCGGUGAAAUGCGCAGAUAUCGGGAGGAACACCAGUGGCGAAGGCGACUACCUGGCCCAUUCUUGACGCUGAGGCGCGAAAGCUAGGGGAGCGAACGGG